rnacentral:rRNA from 1 species
ACGCUCGACACCUACGGUAGGCAGCAGUGGGGAAUAUUGCACAAUGGGGGAAACCCUGAUGCAGCGACGCCGCGUGAGCGAAGAAGUAUUUCGGUAUGUAAAGCUCUAUCAGCAGGGAAGAAACUGACGGUACCUGACUAAGAAGCACCGGCUAAAUACGUGCUAGCAGCCGCGGUAAUCUGAGCGGGCUGGCAAGGC